rnacentral:rRNA from 1 species
CCUACGGGAGGCAGCAGUGAGGAAUAUUGGUCAAUGGACGAGAGUCUGAACCAGCCAAGUCGCGUGAAGGAUGACUGCCCUAUGGGUUGUAAACUUCUUUUAUGUGGGAAUAAAACAGGGUAUGCAUACCCUCUUGUAUGUACCAUAUGAAUAAGGGUCGGCGAACUCCGUGCCAGCAGCCGCGGUACUACGGAGGAUCCGAGCGUUGUCCGGAUUUAUUGGGCUUAAAGGGAACGUAGGUGGAUUGUUAAGUCAGUUGUGAAAGUUUUGGGCUCAACCGUAAAAUUGCAGUUGAAACUGGCAGUCUUGAGUACAGUAGAGGUAGGUGGAAGUCGUGGUGUAGCGGUGAAAUGCUUAGAGAUCACGAAGAAUUCCGAUUGCGAAGGCAGCGCACUGGACUGCAACUGACACUGAUGCGCGAAAGUGUGGGUAGCAAACAGGAUUAGAUACCCGAGUAGUC